rnacentral:rRNA from 1 species
GUGAACGCUGGCGGUAGGCCUAACACAUGCAAGUCGAACGGCAGCACAGUAAGAGCUUGCUCUUACGGGUGGCGAGUGGCGGACGGGUGAGGAAUACAUCGGAAUCUACUUUUUCGUGGGGGAUAACGUAGGGAAACUUACGCUAAUACCGCAUACGACCUACGGGUGAAAGCAGGGGAUCUUCGGACCUUGCGCGAUUGAAUGAGCCGAUGUCGGAUUAGCUAGUUGGCGGGGUAAAGGCCCACCAAGGCGACGAUCCGUAGCUGGUCUGAGAGGAUGACGACAGGAAUGGGGAAGAGGGGACGUGCGAGACCGCUGGGGUGGGGACGAGUGGGGAAGGUGGUGCAAUGGUGGGGAUGCUGAUCCAGCUCUGUCGGGUAAGAAAAGAAGCCGUUCGGGCCGUAGAGCCCUUUUGGUGCCAAAAAACAGCAGCAGGUUAAAACUCCGCCGUUGUGACGGUACCAAAAGAAUGAACAACGGCUAACUUCGUG